rnacentral:rRNA from 1 species
UGAUGGCGACCGGCGCACGGGUGAGUAACACGUAUCCAACCUGCCCAUUACUCAGGGAUAGGCUUCUGAAAGGGAGAUUAAUACUUGAUAUGUCAUAAUUUCGCAUGUCAUUAUGAUGAAAGAUUUAUCGGUGAUGGAUGGGGAUGCGUUCCAUUAGCUUGUUGGUGAGGUAACGGCUCACCAAGGCUUCGAUGGAUAGGGGUUCUGAGAGGAAGGUCCCCCACAUUGGAACUGAGACACGGUCCAAACUCCUACGGGAGGCAGCAGUGAGGAAUAUUGGUCAAUGGACGUAAGUCUGAACCAGCCAAGUAGCGUGAAGGAUGACUGCCCUAUGGGUUGUAAACUUCUUUUGUUCGGGAAUAAUAUGCCUUACGUGUAGGGUAUUGCAUGUACCGUUCGAAUAAGCAUCGGCUAACUCCGUGCCAGCAGCCGCGGUAAUACGGAGGAUGCGAGCGUUAUCCGGAUUUAUUGGGUUUAAAGGGAGCGUAGAUGGGCGAUUAAGUCAGUUGUGAAAGUUUCCGGCUCAACCGUAAAAUUGCAAUUGAAACUGUUUGUCUUGAGUGCAGCUGAAGUAGGCGGAAUUCGUGGUGUAGCGGUGAAAUGCUU